GAUGGUGAUGGGUGAGGGCGUGAGAAUCUGAAUAGAUGAGGGUGGGGUGGAGGCAGCGCCCUCCCCCACUGUUUACUGGGGUGUGACUUGAGCACCUCACAAGCACAGGCAGUGCCUCAGCCGCUUGCUCUGAGGGGCCGACCAUGCCCACCAGGCUGCGGCCCGUGGCAGCUGGCUCACUGUGUGCUGGGCACCCUGAGCCCUGCGUUUCCAGUGACUCCAACUCUCGCACAGGUGACCCGGUGGAUGCUGCUGUCCUCUGUGUGAGGGGGGAAGCGAGGGAACUGUCAUGGCCCACGAGCCUGUUCGCCUCCAGAGGACCACAGCCGCCCUGGUGGGACCAGCACAGGUGCCGGGCAGAGGGAAGCAGAGGAGCCCCUGAUGUCUGGCUGCCGUCAUCCGUCUGUCCAUGCUGGGCUGCAGCUGGUGUGACCUCCACUGUGCUCUUGUUUUUGGCAAGACCAAUGACUCAGGAAAGGCCAUGUGGGAGGGGGGCCACCUACAAGCCAGGAAGAGAAGCCUCACCAGAAACCAACCGUGAUGGCGCCUUCAUCUUGGACUGCAGCCUCCAGAACUCCUCCGUCCCUGCAGCCUGCACCCUAAGCCCAGCUCUACAAGGAUCUGGAGGACAGGACACCACAGGUGACAACAGAGCCUCCGGUGGCCCCACCCAGGCAGAGGCCUCGGGUCCUGUGGAAGGACAAGGCAUCAUAAAAUUCUGAACUUGCUAUGUAGAAUAUGAAAUUGCUAAUAGAAGAUUGUUUAUUAAAAAAAAUGACUAGAGGCCGGGCGCGGUGGCUCACGCCUAUAAUCCCAACACUUUGGGAGGCCAAGUUUGUGGCAGCAGCCGCUCCAGACAGCCUGCCACUGCUGCAGCAGGGAGGUGCCACCAGGGCUACACACUCCAUGGAGCUGGCAGGAGCCCUGCCCCUUCCGAGUUGGAAGCCUGCAACUUCUGCAGCCACCCAAGUUGUAACUGCAGAUCUGAGCCUUCUUGUGGUCUUCCAGGGCAAGCAGGCUCAACCAGAGCACCCCAGGCUCAACCAGAGCAAGGCAGAGGAUGGAGAAGCAAUCGGAGACUGGAUGACCAGCUGCAGAGGAGCUACCCUCUCUGCUGAGAGCUGGGAAGUCAACAGGGACCUGCCUGCAGAGUGGAGCCACCCACUCCAGGGCCUCCGGGGCCUCCUCUCUACAGAGAACUGAACACUGGAGAUGACCUGCCUACAGAGAGGAGCUGCCCACUGUGGGUCUCCUCCGAGCUGUCCUAAGAUUCAAUAAAGCUUUUCUUUGUCUUGCUUAUCCUC